GAUGAACGCUGGCGGCGUGCUUAACACAUGCAAGUCGAGCGAGUGAGUUCUUCGGAACGAUCUAGCGGCGGACGGGUGAGUAACACGUGGGCAACCUGCCUCAUAGAGGGGAAUAGCCUCCCGAAAGGGAGAUUAAUACCGCAUAAAAUUAUCGAGUGGCAGCACAGGGUAAUCAAAGGAGCAAUCCGCUAUGGGAUGGGCCCGCGGCGCAUGAGCUAGUUGGGGAGGUAACGGCUCAACAAGGCGAGGAUGCGUAGCCGAGCUGAGAGGGUGAUCGGCCACAUUGGGACUGAGACACGGCCCAGACUCCUACGGGAGGCAGCAGUGGGGAAUAUUGCACAAUGGGGGAAAACCUGAUGCAGCAACGCCGCGUGAGUGAUGAAGGUCUUCGGAUUGUAAAGCUCUGUCUUUGGGGACGAUAAUGACGGUACCCAAGGAGGAAGCCACGGCUAACUACGUGCCAGCCGCCGCAGUAA
rnacentral:rRNA from 1 species